AUGGUCCUUGGCUCCACAGAUGCUGGGUUCACAGUAAGGCAGAACGCCAUGGUUAUGGGAACACCUACAGGAGGCACCUGUCUACCGCCUGUCAGAUAGGAAGCAGCUAGGGUGCAAGGGACCAGGCACUAGUUGUAGCUUCCAAAACCCUCCCAUUAGGAGCUACUUCCUCCAACUAGGUCCUACCUCCUAAAGUUCCCACAACCUCCCCAAAACAGUACCACCAGCUGGAGACUGAGCAUUGAGCACUUGAACCUGUGCAGACAGUUCACAUUCAACUAUAAAAAUAUAGAAAAUAUAUGCUUUUUAUCCAACUCAAGGCUUUUAAUAAUCUACUAAAAAAAAAAGAGAGAACUAUCCUUCCUCAAUAAAACAAUAAUCCAGAGGGGAUGUAGUGGGUGACAUGGAGGAAAAUGAUUGAAAGAAAAGAUAGAAAGAAAAGGGGAAUUUUCAGAGACUAGGAAAGGGCAGAAAUUGAUAGAUUCCUGACUUUGAUAUCAGUUCCCUAGAGGUGACAAGUCCUUAGAGGGGUUGAGGGACUAUACAUAUUGUGAAUGCUGAAGAAAUCUCCAGAGUUGGUUACCAAACUGUCAGAAUGCUAGUGUAUGGGCUCCAAGUUGUUGGAACUAUUUACCAAGUAAAGUAUAGUAAAUUCUCACUGGCUUUUAUUCAACAAACACAUGCUUGAAUCAUGACACGAACAGUGACCUAUGCUCAGAGAAUGGCUGUGUGGCCCAAGAUUUGCUUCUCACUGCCAUGCCAAUGGGAUUCUGGUCCCAGGUUGUCUAAUGGAGCUUCAAGGGAUUUCCUUGGGCAAUACUACAAAAGGAAAUGUUUCCUAUCUACUCACUAUUUCUUCCCUUCUUCCCCUGGUGACUGUACAUCUCCCAUCUAGCAAGAAACUGGCAUCAAAGUUUCCCACAGCUUCCUCAUCAGCCUCAAUUGUGUGACUAGACAUGGAGAUCUGCAUGCCACCUCGAGUUGCUGCGCUCCCCCUCCUCCUGAAGUUUCCAAGCAUUUCAUUUACACCAGCAUUUAUACAAGUUGAGAUGAGAAAAUAGGACAAGAAACCGUCAACUCUGACAGACCAUCCAAUCUCCUCUUGUGGAUACCUCCCCAGCUUGAAUUCCUAACUGGUCCCAGCUAUGGCAGGAGGUCCUUCUACCUGCAAAGAUCCUUAUUUAAAUGUAAAUCAAAAUCAGAACACUUCAGAUUGGAAAUGCUCACAGUUCAGUCAGACACUGUCCUGUUGCUGCAAAGUUGAAACCAUUAUUUUCAACUCAGUGAGUUCAGAAUCUGUUCUAAGUGGAAAUAUGGAUGGGAAAUUAACAUUUUAAUAUCAUUUUUAAAAAAUGUUGCCUCUGUUCCAUUUAAGCUCCAGCACUGUUUUAAGCAAGAGUCUUUUGCACAGCACUGAAAACUCACACAGUUUUAUUGAACUUUUAAGACUGUUGGCUGCUCUAGGGGUGUGGUGUUUCUCCUAUGUCUAGGUUAACUUCCAAGUGUCUCAUGUAUGUGACUCUUUUGCAGGUACAUUACUGAAUUUUCAAUGAUGGUUGUUUUCUAGCGCUUGCCUCUCUAGGGGCAAAGGGACAAGCUCUCCUGUCCUCUUCAACACAGGGAGGCUCAUUACCUGCAGAUUAAACAACAACCCCCUACUGCUCUACAAGGAAUGCUAAUGUACCCUGCCAAAACUUCUAUAUUUCAAAAGGACCUUCCUGGACUGUUUUGAUAUUUGGAAGGUAACUGGGAGAGCAAGGAAUUGGAGUAAUUUUCCUUUAUAUAGGGAAUUAAGAAGCCCAGUCAUCCUGGAAGGGAGGGAGAUGUGGGGACAUUAAGAGGGCCUAUGAAGACCUGGGUGUUGUCCUUAUAUACCCCUGUGCCUGGCACUGCUCCUCUGAACGCCAUGGAACAGACAGUUGGCAUAACCUGGGCGGUAUAUAUUCAAAAGAUGUUUGUCCCUGACACCGCUGCUGUAGGAAGCCAGCACCUGUGCCUGCCAGGUUGCCUGUCUCUCCCACCUUCCUCCCAGGUUACAGCAAACAGACUGCAUAAUGGGAACAUCGCCCACCAUUUUCCCAACUGCAACUUUUUCACAGUGUUCCCACUGCCAAGAAAGUCCUCCAUUGUUAUCACCUUGCCAUCUUAAGACUUGCUCUCCUUCCUGAAGCUGACUCCACUGGGUAAGAUCGUGCCUGUUUCCGAAUUGCCACCCUCCCAGCUGCUUCAACACCUGCACACCGUAUGAGUCACAUCAAUUGCACAUCGAGAAUCCACUUCUUCCUUUCCUGACCAUAAAUGCCCAAGGCACAGACUCUGUACAUUCUUACUUUUUCUUCCCCUUCUCCUCCAUGAAUCAGCACAAUUCCUUGCUUAUAGCAGCUAUUCAAUAGAAAUUGACUUGAGUGCAUGACUAAAUGAAGAUGUUAAUGAGUCCCCAGAAGCCAGGCUUAAUUUCAGAGAGAACUAGUGAAUGAUUCAGGUAGUAAGAUGGUCAAGUUCAGCCCUAACUAUAUGUUACCAUUGCCAAGUCAAUGUGUGAGUAUAUAAAAUUCUAGAAUUUGUUGCUGUCCUAGUUUGCUUCUCUAUUGCUUAUAAUAAACACUGAUCAAAAGCAA